rnacentral:lncRNA from 1 species
AUUUUCUAGCAUUUCUACUCAUUGGUCUGUGGACACUGUUUCUACAGCUCUUAAAGCAAUGACUUCUGAACUUGAAUGACCAGUAGAACUGGGUGGAUGACUUUAUAAAAACACAGAUUUGCAAGCCCAGUCCAGGUCUAUCAAGUAAGGAUCUUUCUAAGGAGUUAAGCUCAGGCCUGCGACGGUGGAUUAUCCAGCAGGGGCUUUGCCGUGUAAACUCUCUAGAAAGUUGUCAACAGCCUGUUCUUCUUCAGUGGUGAGACUUGGAUGAAUUCAGAUUUUGAGUCUUUGAAUCUUAGCUCCCUGACCAGGGAUCGAACCAGCAUCUCCUGCAUUAGAAGGCGAAGUUUUAACCUGUGGACCUCCAGGGAAAUCACCAAAGGUCUUUUUCCUUUUCACUGA